AAGCAGGUUCCCCUUUCAGGCUGGCAGAGUUCCAGCACCCAAGGAGCUUCUUGGGGCUGUGGGGAAAAGGAGAAAAGCGAUCAAAGUAGGGGUGCCAUGUGUAUCUGUGUGUACAAACAUGUAUGCAGCAGCCAGGCAGCAUAGAGAACAACUCCCACAGCUCCCUACAGGUACGUCUAUAGGGGCAGGGGUGGGGCUGUGGCACAGACCAUGCAGGGGAAGAGAAGUGGACACUAUGGGGGCAUUGGGUGGGGAAAGGAGCACAGGCAAUGGGGCACGGAGAGUAUAUUCCCUCCAAGAUUUCUGUGCCCAGAGCAGGACGUGGGGUUGCAGCAGGGCCAGACCCAGCUCCAGAGGAGGCGUCUCUGUGGCCCAGCAUGCAGGAGGGAGUGUCAUGCCACCAUGGCUGCCAGAGUGAGAUGUGGUGGCAUGGAUUUGUGCCCUUCCCCCUGCUGCUGCUGCCAGGCGGUGCUUUACCUUGGUGGCCAUGGUAUCAACUUCUGAUAUUAACAGGGACUGAUUAUUUUACCUAUAGGAGCAGUUACUUAAAAACAUGUUCUACAGUGAUCUAACUGUUGCAUGUGACAUUAGUACAACUAGAAAGAAUCAGAGAAACAUUGUUUUGCUAUUUUGUAACAUGUUAAUGAAAGCUUAAAUGGAAAAAAAAAAAAAAAAAUCAGAUGCUUUAUUUUUAAACCUUGUUUGUUUUCUUCAUGCUUUUGGUAGUAUUUCUACAGGUUUAUUUUCCAUUGUCAGAUGCCUUUCACACAGCAACAAGAAAAAGAAGCAUAUUUUACAAGACAGAAAAACAACUGUAAAGCCAUAAAAAAAAGUUGGUAUUAAGAUGAAUACAAAUUAAGAGCAGGCAUAGAACUCCAAAUUAUUAUUAUUUUUUAAAUUGGCUGUGUUUAUUUGCAUCCCUUGAAGCAUCCUUAGUUUGCAUAUUUCCUUUAUAAAGAUGUUCAUAACAUGAUUUUCAGAAUAAAAGGGCUGUCCAGGAUUUUAUUGCUUUAAGUGGCUACAGAUUUCUGACUUAUGCUCUCACAAAGCUGUGUGUAGCACUUAGACUAACUCGUACAUUAUUAGCAAUAACAGACUGAUCUAUAGUUUUCUUUACUUAAAAUCCAACACAACUCCAUCUUUUUUUAGUUGGAAACUACUGAGAAGGAGGAUCUUGAUACAAUAGUUAAUCUUAGUAUGACUAUGAGACAUCCCUGUGAGGCAGCCUUGAGAAAGGCAAAUACUGUCAGGAAAAAUCUCUCCAGUAAAGAAAAGGAAAUAUUCAUGUCAUUAUACAUGCCAUUGGUAAGACACACUUUGGGAUACUAAGUACAAUCAUAAUCACUCAUGUUCCAGGAAAAUGAACUUGGAGUAGAACAAAGAAAGGCUACGAGGAUGAUCAGGGGAAACAGAAAGCCUGUUGUACACAAGAAGAGACUAAAAUGGCUUGCCCUUCCAGCAAAGUGAAGACCAAGAAAACACGAUUGCUGUCUAUAAAUAAAUCCAUGAGUAAACACCAGGGAAGAAGAAAAUCUGUGCUGGGAUAAGAACAUAAAAUGGUCACAAAUAAAUCUACGUGGAAAUCAGAAGAAGCUUCCUACCUGUCUGAGAACUGAGGCUAUAGAACAGUCUUCCAACUGGAGCCAGAGGGACAAAAUAUCUAACUACUUUUUAUAAAGGGACAGAAUAUAGUGCAUGUGAUAUCAAGGGGGCUGGACUUAAAGACCUAGGACAUUCCCUUUGGUCCCAUGAUCCCAAAACAUGCUUGGGGAAGAACCUCCCCCCAAAAAGGUUUAUGGAGAAUAUUCUUCUACUCAGAAUAAGAAGAGAUUAAAUAGGGACUGAAAGGGCUAAAAUUAGGUCCUCCUGGGUAGAGCAUAACCUUACAAAAUGCUACUAAAACUCCUAGGUUUAAAAACGAUGAUGUAUUUAUUUGACUAACUGCAGAACUAGAAGACAUACUUCCCCUUAAAAAAGGAAGAACUGUAAAAGCCAAACCUCAAAAAAAAUGACGUGAUGAUGGCUUCCAGUAAAGUUAGACCCACAUAAUUAAAACCUGUAGGUAAGAAACCAUCUCCUUUAGUUUCUACUGCUUAGCUCCACUCAAGGGAUAAGUUAAAAAUUGAGAAAAUAAUCACAUAAUGACAACCUUAGUGUCCUAAUCACAUCUAAAAACUGUAUUUU